rnacentral:lncRNA from 1 species
AAGUUUUCUUCCAUGUUUUUAUACUCCUACUUUGUUAGAUAUUACUGCUUCAUUAUACUUCUACUUAGUUAAUGCUCCUACCUAGUUAAAUGCUAUUACUUUGUUAACGCUUUUACUUUGCGAUAUGCUCCUACUUCGUGAUACGCUUCUACUUCUACUUCGUGAAACACUUCUACUUCGAUAAACACUUCAACUUCGUUAAAUGCUUUUACUUAGUUAAAUGUAUGCCUGUACUUGUAUAGUUAUAUAAAUAAUGUUCAAAGGGCUUAGGAAGGCUAGUUCACCCUAUUUCCUUUUCCUCGUUGGGAUGUGGUCUGGUGGGAUCGGAUAUCCGUCCGAAGGUCGUUUGAUCAUUAAUUAUAUAUUAUGUAUACAUGUAUAAACAUAUAGGUUUACAUCGAUCAGUUCACUUCCCUUGGGUAGCAAGGGCAUCCUCCCACUCGUCACUCAUAGAUCAGAGACACUAGUAACUAUUAUAGGAAUAGUUAGGAGAAUCUAUCUCUCACUCUAUCUCUCUCUCUUUAUAUCUCUCUCUUACUCUAGAAUGUGACACACUAUUUCCCACUAUGGCGCUUCAUUGCGCCAACGCCGUGUAACCAGAGUCUCCGGGAAGGAGAGAGAACAUCAUGUGUAUAGAUCUAUACGGGACUAACACUCCCAAAGCCUGACUACUAGCUACAGUCCGCGCUGGUAAGGCCCAUGGGUGGCAUGAAGCCAUUACUACUACUGCCACUACCUCUACGCAACAUCAUGUGUAUAGAUCUAUACGGGACUAACACUCCCAAAGCCUUACUACUAGCUACAGUCCGCGCUGGUAAGGCCCAUGGGUGGCAUGAAGCCAUUACUACUACUGCCACUACCUCUACGCGUGACAGGGUCAUCGGAUACUCUAUCGUCGAUCAGCAUGGUUACAUACGAGUUCACAUGCACCCUUUGUUUUAGACCUUGCUAGAAGUAUCAUUCAUUUGAUACUGUCUGGGGUCUGUGUCUCCUUUUGUUAGACUGAGCCAGGCGUGUCAUUCAUUCGAUACUCUCUUGGAGUCUAUGAUUUCUUUGCCUUAAUCAGAAGUAUCUUCUGCUGAGGCAUAUGCUAUUUUCCUUUAGUACUUUAACUAGUAAUAUUCUCCUACUUUCUUUAAAGUCAAAUACCGUAUUUUGGGUAAUGAUAGUAUUUCAAGGAAAAUUUCUCUUUAAAACAUAACACUGUCGAGUCUUGGUAGAAGACUGCUUUUAAUUAGAAAAUAUAGGAUUUUCUGGGAAGAACUCUAGUACACCGUAGACUCUAAACUACUACUUUUUAUAAAGUUAUUUUGGAUACAAUGCUUACUUACACAAAUGACACUAAAUGCUUAUGAACUCACCAGCAUUUAUAAAAAUACUGAUACUCGCUUUCAAAAUAACUUGUAUUCUCA